rnacentral:rRNA from 1 species
GACGAACGCUGGCGGCGUGCUUAACACAUGCAAGUCGAGCGGAGCGGCGCACGGGUGAGUAACGCGUGAGUAACUGCCCCCCUCUCUGGGAUAACAGUUGGAAAAGGCUGCUAAUACCGGCUAGUGGGGGCUGCCUCGCUUCCUAUCCGCUUGUUGGUGGGGUAGUGGCCUACCAAGGCGACGACGGGUAGACGGCCUGAGCGGGCGACCGGCCACAGUGGGCUGAUAUACGGGCCAAACUCUGACGUGAGGCAGCAGUGGGGAACAUUGCACAAUGGGGGAAUCGCUGAUGCAGCAAUCCGCGUGCGUGAUGACGUGCUUCGGGUUGUAAACCGCUUGCAGCCAUUACGCGGUGGUGGCAGAAGAAGCACGGGCUAACUGCUGGCCAGCAGCCGCGGUAAUAC